GCGAGAGUGGCGGAAUUGGCAGACGCGCCAGACUUAGGAUCUGGUGCCCUGCGGCGUGGGGGUUCGAGUCCCCCCUCUCGCACCA
rnacentral:tRNA from 2 species